rnacentral:rRNA from 1 species
GACGAACGCUGGCGGCGUGCUUAACACAUGCAAGUCGAACGGUGAAGCGCCUUCCUUUUUGGUAGGCGUGGAUGAGUGGCGAACGGGUGAGUAACACGUGAGUAACCUGCCCCUUCUUCUGGAUAACCGCAUGAAAGUGUGGCUAAUACGGGAUAUUCUGGGUCUGUCGCAUGAUGGGUCUGGGAAAGAUAUUGUUUCGGUGGGGGAUGGGCUCGCGGCCUAUCAGCUUGUUGGUGGGGUGAUGGCCUACCAAGGCGGUGACGGGUAGCCGGCCUGAGAGGGUGGACGGUCACACUGGGACUGAGACACGGCCCAGACUCCUACGGGAGGCAGCAGUGGGGAAUAUUGCACAAUGGGCGCAAGCCUGAUGCAGCGACGCCGCGUGAGGGAUGGAGGCCUUCGGGUUGUGAACCUCUUUCGCCAGUGAAGCAGGCCUGCCUCGUUUGUGGGUGGGUUGACGGUAGCUGGAUAAGAAGCGCCGGCUAACUACGUG